rfam:Butyrivibrio crossotus CAG:259 genomic scaffold, scf27
CCAUGCAGCCGGGGAAUUAGCGGCUCCCUGAACCUGAAAUCCGCUAUAGCAGGGGUGAUAUUCUGCCGAGGGCUUUUGUUUAUUGUAGCUGCCCGGUUUAAGUGAUGUUGAUGCUUGGGUCUUACGCAAUAGGAAUCCACGAACCAUGUCAGGUUGGGAACAAAGCAGCAUUAAGUGGAAGCUCUUAUGUGACGUGAGGUCGCCUGAGUUGAGUUAACUGAAUCGGUAACGUGUGAUGGACGGGCUCGAAGCAGGAUGCAUGG